CAAGUAGAAUUCUUUAUUCAUUUAUAUCUUAUUACCAUAUCUGAUAACCACAUUCUAAACUUACAGUUUUAUGGCCAUGGUUUCUCCUGGUACUUAAAACACUCUUGACAUUCACUGAUUUUUAGAUGCAAUGUAUUUAAACCACCAAUCUUUAUCUAUAAAAUGAUAUUCUUAAUCUAAAACGGUCUUUUAACACAACUGACUCAUAAAUACCAUUCAGAUGAUAAUGCCCUGAUGGUAUAUCCUUUUAUAAAACCUGGUCUACUUUACAAU
rnacentral:lncRNA from 1 species